rnacentral:lncRNA from 1 species
UUCGAUACAUGGCCUUGGGGUGACACUGUGACUAAUGGUUUUAGAAUAUCUAAAAAAACUUGAAUGUAAAAAAUAGAGUCAUAUGAAUGAAUAGAAAAAAAAAAAAGAAAUGCUUACUCAACAAUUUUGAAGGUAAUUUUUUUCAGUUUUAACUUAAAACUUUGAAGGUAAAAACGGCGGAAAAUAUAAAUGUUAAAAAAUUACUAGUAUAUUUUAGAUUGGAUCUAACCAUGCUUUCUAAUCCAACCACGUCGCCUCGC